GGCCUCCUGGUGUUUACCACAGGCUGUGUUCCUACACUGACAGUAUAGAAAGAGGAGGCAAAGUAAACCUACCCCAAUAUACCUCAGCCAGGGCCCUGUGACUGCUCUGCAUUGUGAAUGGGGAGACAUGG
rnacentral:snoRNA from 1 species